AUUUGGACCAAUACAGCUUAGUUGAAUUCUUUCCCCCCCCUGUAUUUUAUAAGUUGGCCAUCGAAUUAUCACAAUUUGCAGUGAAUAAAUCUCUUAGUAUCAGAUGUUGUGACUACUACUUUACCUAUGGUUUAUACUGUUCACAAAACUUGCAUGUUGUAUUGUUGUAUUAUUUAAUUAUAAUUUUUUUUAUUCAAAUGUUAAACAUCCAAUACAAUAAGUACAAUAAGUAACCACAACAAAAAACAGGAACGUAAGUAACCACAACAAAAAAACAGGGCGACAGCAUGGUAAUACCUGUUAAUAGCAGGCAGUUCCAGAGAGAGUAGAACAUAAUGACAAAAUGGAGAGUAUAUAAGGGGGCAAAUUGUGUAGGGGGGAUGUGAAGAUUGGGAGAAUGGAGUGUAACAAGAGUAGAGACAAAAGCCUAGCUAAGGAAGAAAAAGAGGACAUAGUAGAAAACCUUUUAAGUUGGAGAGGUUCACGCCAUGUGAGACCUGG